GUGUGUGUGUGUGUGUGUGUGUGUGUGUCCUUGCAGCAAAUAUGUGUUUACCUCAGCAGAAUCACUACAUGAUGACCCAGACGGAGGACGGCCGGAUCAAAGCGUUUGACGGGUCAGAAUUGGGCCGACAGCACCGUUAACGUCCACGCCGGCGUAAGUGACCAUCGGGAGAAUGUGCAGAAGACGGCCAACAUCCCGCAGGCCAGAACAACCACAUCACCUACAGUCAGGAGACCAAGAGGGAGGGAAAGUCACCAGACUCCCUUAUAAAAAUGCUCAGUUUAGUGAGUUGUUGAAUCUGGAGAAUCUUUAUGAACUCUGUGAAACUCUGCAGCUGAUGGAUUCUUGAUUACUUGGGCCUGCUUGUAAAUUCGGCAAAUGCUCUACAUGAACUGUGAAUCUGAUCACUCGUGGUCAUUUGAGAUGAGCGCCGGAUUAUACAGUUUAUAAUAACAGUGUAGUGAUGAUGGAAACGUUUCAGUGCCACAGUGUUGACGUACGGUACAUUUACCACCAACAACUUAAUCUCUGGCUUGUUUCCUGUGUAAUAACUACUCAGAGUGUUUCAGGAAACAUUAAUAAUCUGAUGGACGCAGGUGCUCCGCCGACAUAACGUCAAACUGCACACACAUGCAGAAGAGUUCAUCACGGCCUCGCCCACGCCGUGUGAUUGACAGGUGAUCAGUGGGACGUGUGUGCUGAGGUGAGGAGGGCGGUGACACACCUCCUCCAAAGUCAGAUUAAAUCACCCAUCAGAUAAAAGGGUGAGGAGGAGGUGAAGGUGUGGAAAUAAAACGAGGAGUGUGACAGCGAGUUGAGGCGACGCAGUCGGGGCGGGCUGAGAAACGCUGGCAUUUCACUCUGCUGUCCACAGGAGAGUGACUUACAGAAAUACAGCCGGCGUAGCCUUUUGGAUGACAGGAGGGGAAAAAAGAGGCCUGACAUUUGAGGAAGAGGGAGAGAAGCGGGGAGGACGGGAAUAAUGCAUGAGCAGCGGCGCUGUGAGAGAUUUAUCCGCCAUGUUUGACCUCUGCUGGGAGAAGAGCAGCGUGGAGACGACGUCGCAUCAGUGCUGACAGUCUUUAUUAGAUGAUUCUUGAAUUUAUAGUGAUUUAAGGUUAACCUUUUCAGGUAGUCUCUUUUUAAAUUGAAACCUUUUCCUCCAGAAUCUGAAAACACAACCCGAGUGUGAACUGAUGCUGAAGGACGCUGCCGCCUCAGAGACGACCUGAAAACACUCUUCUCAACACGUUACAGUUCUGCGCUGACAACAUGCAGCAGCAUCCGUGUCCUUCCGGAGGAAAUGUGUCGCUGCCAAGUGUCGCGCGGUUCAUCUUCGCCAGGCGGAUGGUGGCUGGUCAAACAGUUCCAGCCUCGUCGUGUAGAUGAUCAGCUGAUGGACGACAUGGAGGACGAGGAACAGAACACGAAGACGAUUUGCAUCAAAAUCAUAAAGUUUUUAACGAGCAUCAA